rnacentral:rRNA from 1 species
CGGAGGGAUCAUUAAAGAGUUCUAUAACUCCCAAACCCAUGUGAACAUACCUAACGUUGCCUCGGCAGGUCGCACCUACCUUGUAGCACCCUACCCUGUAGGGCAUACCCGGGAGGUGCGGGUAAGCCUGCCGGCGGCCCACCAAACUCUGUUUGAUAUUGAAUUCUGAACCUAUAACUAAAUAAGUUAAAACUUUCAACAACGGAUCUCUUGGUUCUGGCAUCGAUGAAGAACGCAGCGAAAUGCGAUAAGUAAUGUGAAUUGCAGAAUUCAGUGAAUCAUCGAAUCUUUGAACGCAUAUUGCGCCCAUUAGUAUUCUAGUGGGCAGGACCGUUCGAGCGUCAUUUUUCAACCCUUAAGCCUUCGUUGCUUAGUGUUGGGAGCCUACGGCAACGUAGCUCCUCAAAGUUAGUGGCGGAGUUGGUUCACACUCUAGACGUAGUAAUUUUUUAUCUCGCCUAUUAGUUGGACUAAUCCCCUGCCGUAAAACCCCCAAUUUAUCAAGGUUGACCUCGAAUCGGUUCAGACAAACUCGCUAAAUUGAAGCAUCUUAGUCAGCGAAGGAAAAGAAACCAACAGGGAUUGCCCUAGUAACGGCGAGUGAAGCGGCAAC